rnacentral:rRNA from 1 species
UACGUAGGUGGCAAGCGUUGUUCGGAAUUAUUGGGCGUAAAGGGCGCGUAGGCGGUUUGUUAAGUCGGCUGUGAAAGCCCGGGGCUCAACCCCGGAGGGUCAGCCGAUACUGGCAGACUAGAGUACGGAAGAGGUAGCUGGAAUUCCCGGUGUAGAGGUGAAAUUCGUAGAUAUUCGCAAGAACACCAGUGGCGAAGGCGGCUCACUGGCCCGAUACUGACGCUGAGGCACGAAAGCGUGGGGAGCAAACAGG